CAGUUCUAGUCCGAUCACUGAAGUUAAGCAUCGUCGAGCAUGGUCAGUACCAAGAUGGGUGACCUCUUCUGAAUAUCACGUGCUGUAAG